UACGGGGGGUGCAAACGUUGCUCGGAAUUAUUGGGCGUAAAGCGCACGUAGGCGGUCUGGUAAGUCGGGUGUGAAAGCCCGGGGCUUAACCCCGGAAGUGCACUCGAAACUGCCAGGCUUGAGUACGGAAGAGGGUCUCGGAAUUCCCGGUGUAGAGGUGAAAUUCGUAGAUAUCGGGAGGAACACCAGUGGCGAAGGCGGAGACCUGGGCCGAUACUGACGCUGAGGUGCGAAAGCGUGGGGAGCAAACAGG
rnacentral:rRNA from 1 species